UUAAAUAAUAAACACACAAGAUGCUCUUUCUCUUUGGGUUUUCUCUUCCGCGGCCAUGAGUUUUUGGCCGUGACCGGUGUCAGAUGGCUUUUCUAGCGAUGAUGCCAGUCCUUUUUUUUAAUCGCUGUCGUGUGUUUAUGCCAUGACCGGUGUCCGACGGCUUCUCUAGCACCAUUACCGGUUCUGUGAUGAAAUUUCCAGCCGUCUGUUAUAGUUUUUAGCACUCUUUUGGUUUUAAUCUGCUCCGCAAGCUUGUUGGAUUAUGUAUUUUGAUAAGUUUCUUCUCCUCUCCUUGUUGGUUCUUUCUUUGGCCUUUAUCGGUUCGAUCCGCCACCUCCUUAGGGUUUGGUUUUGGUGUUGCCGUUUGCGCGGCUCUUGUUAGUUUCCUCCACCAGAAAUUUCAACCAGAUUUGAUCGAAAUUUGGUUUGAUUUUGCCUCCCUUUGUACCGGAUCUAUGUCGUUUUUGUUCGACAAUCAACAAUCCGGCCUCGGCUGCUUUCGAUGGUUUGUCUUUACCUCCUCUUUCGAGGCUCUGUCUUGCCAUUUUAGGAAGUAAUUUUCAUCAUUGUCGAAGUCUAUCUAUUACCAAGUGAGGAAAACAAAAUUUGAAGAUAAGAUUUUGAAGAUUCCAAGAAGAUUUCAGUUUUCAAGUCUUUGAAAAGCAUGAUGACGAGAAGUUGUUAGAAUUUUAGAAAUUUCAUAAUCGUAGCAUUUAGUUUUUCUUCUGCCGUCUCUGAUACCGGAUAUGUGCAACCGGUUUGAGCUUUUGUUUCUUAUGUACUGAGAGCAACAGCAAUGGUGAUCCUUAGAGGGCUCUAAGCCUAAGUUUUUAAAAAUUAAAAGCCCAAAUUUAAAUCAAAACUGAUCUAAAACGUAAGAAACAAUCCUUGUUUUAGAGUUUUUUGGGCUGAUAAGAGGCGCUGACGUGGCACCGAGAUUGGUUCGUAAAUGUGAGAAAACAAAAAAAAAAUUCCUUUUCCGAUUCAUUUUAUUCUCGAGACUCUCUCUCUUCUCCUUGUUUUCUAAUUUCUCCGAUGGCGAAAUUGAGAGCAAAUCGUGUUGUUCUUCAUAAUCCGGCGUCUAGGUCAUCAAAUUGGAAGAGAAAGGUGAAACAAAGUCGUAACCAAUCAUCCGUGAUGAUCAGCUCUACUGUCGGUGGUCACCAACAUAAGUUCGGUGGACCAAAUCAGUGCGUUCGGCAAAUCAAAUCGGAUAGUUAGGCGAUUCCAUGCUCCAAUCGCUUAAUCACGGUUUUCAGAGAAAAUUUGCUAUCCAAGGAUUUUGUUAAUAUCCACACACCGAAACUCUUGGCCGGUAGUAGUGAAGGAGGUUCUGCUGUAUUUAGGUUGGAAUACCAAGGACAGCCUGCUUGUCUAGCUCAGUCUCCUCAGCUUCACAAGCAAAUGACAAUAUGUGACUUGCUAUAAUGGACCUUGUGGACGAGUUAUUUGUGUUUAUAUUCACUAGUUUGAAUAAUAAAUGCAAAAAGGAACUUGAAGCUAUUGGAAACAAUACCCAUUUAAACCUUUGAAGUUUCUUGAAAAGACAUUGAGGUUAACGUUUGAAGAAGGGGUUCAAAUUCUUAAGGAAGCUGGUGUGGAGAUUGAUCCUCUUGGCGAUCUAAACACUGAAUCUCAGAGAAAACUUGGCCAACUUGUACUGGAAAAGUAAUCCAUCACUUAUUUUAGUUUUCAAAAUGAUUUAGUUAUUUAUCUUAGAGUUACAAAGUUG